AUAACUCCAAUAUGGUUAAUAUUUGGUCGAAUGCUUGAAGUUAGUGUUAGUGUGUUGCCUUUGUCAUUUUUCUAAUUAUAGUUUUAAAAAAAAAAACUAGAAAACAGAGUAAUAAAUAAGAGUUUUAUAAAUUUUUCUUUUUUUGAGAGAAUGGCGAUAGCGAUGGCGAUUCGAUCUAGGUUUUGAUAUGCUUUGGUCCAGUGUUUUGGAGAGGCGGAAGAUUGGUCUUUCGUGUGCUCUAGUCACGGUUAGUGAUUGGGGAUGGAUCGGAAAUCCAUCUCUGAUUUGGUCGGGAUUCAAUUGGGUUCGGCGGGACCUCUUUCUCCGUGGUGGAGAUUUGAUUGGAUCGAAUCUUAUUUGGUUAACUGUGGGCGAUUCGAUACUAGUCCAGUAUGGACGUGAUAGGAUCCGAUCCUUGAUUAUGUGGGGUUUGAUUUCUCGCGCUCUACUAGGUCGAGAUCUCCAUUUCCUUAUUUUCGAGGUUUCACUUGCAUCUACAAAUGAGAGGAUCUGUUGGUCUGCUAUUUAUGGUAUGGGCUUAUAUUUCUUAAUCUGGCGUAUUGGAAUGGGAUCUUUCUACGAUAUUGCUUUGAUUGUUUUGGGAUUGUUUUCGAUCGGAUAUGGGAUAUCAAUCUCGGAUAGAGUUUGUCAAUCCCGUGACAAAGGGGGGUGCUUUCAUGUGGUAUUUAUCCGAGAGGUUAAUUCGACAGAGUGGUUUCAUUGUCGUUCUAAUCUUCUCCUUCUCGUGAGUGUUUUGUUCGCUUGUCCGAAAGUGGUGUGUUCUGAAGUAUUGUAUUUUUCUUAUCUCCGGGUGUUCUGGUUGCUUCGUGGGUGGUUUACUAUGUCGCAGAUAGCAUUAAACAAAGGCAAAGCACCGUUGGUUCGAACUGAGAUAGUGCGGAUUGCUAAUUCAGUGUUGGCUCAGAGAAUACAACAAUUCUCACUGACUCUUAUUGGGCGCUUAAUGAACCCAAAUGUUCAGCAAAUGGAGUCACUGGUGGCAAAUCUCCCCAAGAUUUGGAAGCUGGAGGAUAAGGUGGUAGGAGCUGAUUUGGGUCAGGGUUUGUUUCAUUUUAACUUCGAGGUUGAAGAAGAGUUGCAGGCGGUUCUGAUGAAUGGCCCUUAUCAUUUUGAUGGGUGGAUGAUUGCGUUGGUGAAAUGGGAGCUUAUUAUCUCAUCCACUUAUCCUUCUGCAAUUAAUUUCUGGGUCAAGGUAACCGGUAUCCCCAUGCAUCUUUGGGAAGAGGCAACGUUGAGAGCUAUAGGCAAGAAGGUGGGUUUACUUAGGGAGAUUGAUGAGGAGACUGGAAGCUUCUGUGUGACGGUGAAUGGCUUUAACCCUCUCCUGUUUCAGAUGGUUGUUCCUUUUGAGUCUGGCGAUGAGGUCAUUGUUUCCCUUGAAUAUGAGAAGCUGACAGGUUUCUGUGAGCAUUGCUCUCGACUUACUCACGAUGUGAGAGAGUGCCCUGAGUUGAAGAAAGGGGCGGGGGAGAAGGCUGUGGAGCAGCAAGUGGAUAAACGGUUCCCUCCAAAACAUCAUCUUCAGGUCAAACAAGGGGGAUACAAAACUGAGGGUGGUUGGGAGAAACCAAGGAAGCAUGUUAAGAGGGCUUUAGACUUUCAGAGUCAGGAGGUUAUGCAUGGUGAUGGGGGUUCUUAUGGAUCCCGCUAUCAAGAGAGAUUCUCUGGCUCGGCGUGGGGCCAGAAAAAACAGUUUACAUCAGGUGAGUCUAAUGGUUCUGGUGGGCAGAGAGGUUCGCAGAAAUCAGGUGGUAACUUUGUGGGGUAGGUUCCUUCUUUCAGCCUGAACCGGAAGGUUUUGGGACCGGUGUGGCCAAAACCUCUGUAUAAGGUUAAACAGGAUGCUACGGUUAAGCAGGGUGUUGCUGCAAUGAGAUCUCAAGAGGAAGAGGGUGCUUUCGGUAAAGGUUCCACUUCUCAGGCUGUUGCAGUUGUUCCGGAAGAUAUACAUACCGGAAUGGUUAAGGAGGGUGAGGAGACUGAUUUUAUGGUGGAUAAUGAUGACUUGUUGGAGGAGGGUGAAUAUCCUGAUGGUCAUGAAGCGGCUUUAGCUGAAUAUAGGAUCGGUAAGGAGGAUGCCACUCUCGCUGAUCAGGGGAUGGAUUCUCAACCUGAUACGAAUGAUAGUCCACAAGGUAUGGGGAAAAAACAGAAGAAUCAAGCAAGACAGGAUAUUAUCUUACGUGGUAAACCAGCGGAUGGUGGUCGUCAACUCAGAAAAGGGACGGUGGCUCUCCCGAAACCACCGGCGGAAACGUGAAGAUACUGAGUUGGAACUGUCAGGGCAUUGGGGUUGAUCUGACAGAGAAGUAUUUGGGUGACUUGUGGAAACAACAUCGACCAGACAUUUUAUUUUUAUCCGAAACUAAGAAAUGUUUUUCUUAUUUGCAAAAAUUUCAGAAUAAGUUUGGUUUUAAUAAUUUGUAUACUAUUGAACCCUGCGGGGCUAGUGGUGGUUUAACAUUGUUUUACAAAGAUGAAAUAAAACUCUCAGUUCUUUA